CUACGGGAGGCAGCAGUGGGGAAUAUUGCACAAUGGACGAAAGUCUGAUGCAGCAACGCCGCGUGGAGGAUGACACAUUUCGGUGCGUAAACUCCUUUUAUAUGAGAAGAUAAUGACGGUAUUAUAUGAAUAAGCACCGGCUAACUCCGUGCCAGCAGCCGCGGUAAUACGGGGGGUGCAAGCGUUACUCGGAAUCACUGGGCGUAAAGAGCAUGUAGGCGGAUUAAUAAGUUUGAAGUGAAAUCCUAUAGCUUAACUAUAGAACUGCUUUGAAAACUGUUAAUCUAGAAUGUGGGAGAGGUAGAUGGAAUUUCUGGUGUAGGGGUAAAAUCCGUAGAGAUCAGAAGGAAUACCGAUUGCGAAGGCGAUCUACUGGAACAUUAUUGACGCUGAGAUGCGAAAGCGUGGGGAGCAAACAGGAUUAGAUACCCUGGUAGUCCACGCCCUAAACGAUGUACACUAGUUGUUGUGAGACUUGAUCUUGCAGUA
rnacentral:rRNA from 1 species